rnacentral:rRNA from 1 species
GGUGAACGCUGGCGGCGUGCCUAAUACAUGCAAGUCGAGCGAACGGACGAGAAGCUUGCUUCUCUGAUGUUAGCGGCGGACGGGUGAGUAACACGUGGAUAACCUACCUAUAAGACUGGGAUAACUUCGGGAAACCGGAGCUAAUACCGGAUAAUAUUUUGAACCGCAUGGUUCAAAAGUGAAAGACGGUCUUGCUGUCACUUAUAGAUGGAUCCGCGCUGCAUUAGCUAGUUGGUAAGGUAACGGCUUACCAAGGCAACGAUGCAUAACCGACCUGAGAGGGUGAUCGGCCACACUGGAACUGAGACACGGUCCAGACUCCUACGGGAGGCAGCAGUAGGGAAUCUUCCGCAAUGGGCGAAAGCCUGACGGAGCAACGCCGCGUGAGUGAUGAAGGUCUUCGGAUCGUAAAACUCUGUUAUUAGGGAAGAACAUAUGUGUAAGUAACUGUGCACAUCUUGACGGUACCUAAUCAGAAAGCCACGGCUAACUACGUG